rnacentral:sRNA from 1 species
UUGGAGGCCAGGUGAAGAAUCCCUAGUUUUAUGAGACGGGAUCUGUCUCUUGCCGUUGUGUGCAAGCCUGCCUGGUAGCAGGAAGCCUAAUGCGGUUAUCACUGAGCCCACCUGGAGUUGCCAGGGAUUACACACGGCGUCCAACGUCAA